UCGUUUUCACUACUUGUAAACAAGCACAUGUUAGUAAUUGACAUGGUAGUUAGCUUUGUAGGCUAGAUAAAGAGUUUGAAUAUCAUCUGAGCAUAGAAUGAAGAGCUGAUUAAAGAUCUCGGGCAAUGCUAUUUCCUUCCAUUUUACAUGUGGAGUAGUAGGCUUAUUUGGAGCAUUGGUAUGCAUGGUGACAUUUGCGGAUUUGAGCCUGAGUAUUGACACAAUGCUUCCAAGCAGUCGAAGACUUCUACAGAUGAACAGAUUGUGUGUCCUAGUAUAUCGGACACUCUGUGACGAUGUUGGAAAUAUACCAGAGUAUAUGAAAAGAUGGGAGCUAAAACAAUCAAGGUGCAAACUGAAUAAAAAGACAGCAGAAUCAGUCAAACGUUGUAUUGAAAAGAACCGACGAUACAAAAACAGCAUAGUGAUGGAGAGCUGUGGAGCAGAUGAGAUUUUUCUACAUACCAAGAACAAGCUAGAUCUGGCCUUCCUUACACAGACUACUGCAAAACAGCAUCUGUACAGGAAAAUGAACAAGACAAACCAGUACAUGAAAAAAUUUCCACUACCACUGAAGGAGUACUAUCAGGCAGCAACGAGUAUAGAAGGGUUAGGUAAAGUGGAUUCGCUGUUGGUGGUCGGAAUCGCUGACAGGGUAUCAAUUCGAUACUUGCCUGUGCAAGUCUACCAACAGACAGGCAUGCUAAGUUUGGGAAAUGUGGAAGUCUUUUUGCUGAUGGUGGCUGAUGAUGCAGUUAAAUUAAUGAAAAAGAAUGGCAUGCAGAAAUAUCAAGUGAUGUUACAUACUGUUUUUAAAAUAGAAUGUUUGAUGAAGAUACCGGCAACAGCAGUCACGCCAAAUAUGAAAGAUAUUUUGGAAUUCGCUGAAAAUUCAUUAAAAAUGGACAAAAUUGAAGUAUUGGAUGAAUGUGUGUCAGAUAAUCUAAGGGACUAUAUCUACUUGAUGCAUUUUGUGAUUAAUAAGGAUUUCAACAUAGAUGAGGACUUAUUUGAAUUUCAAGCGUUUGUGGAAUUACUUCGGCGGCAGGAAGCAUAUCUGAUAAAGAAACUGGAGAGUUCUUUCCCAGGAUCAGGGUUGCCACUACUUAAGGCUGGCUAUACCAUGAUACACAAAGUCAAACACCUGUCACCCGAUGAGUUCCUCGAUAUAUUCAAGAUGGUCCGAAAAGUAAAAACAUACAAAAAUCUGUCCAAGAUGAAAGAGAACAUUGAUUUAUUGGCAGUUGUAUUGCAGCAAUGCCAAUGAGAAGUGUUCCCUGUUAUUGGACUGAUAGUAUCUCUGCAACACUUUUGUGACUUUUGGUCGAUCAAGCUGCUACCACAGCAUGAAGAAGUUUUCCAGAAUGGGUACAGAUCUAGCAGUUUUGAGUCUCGAGGUCUAUGAUACCGCCUCCACAACAUUGGUCUGAAUCACGCGAGAUCUCCAAUGAGACGCCAUUACAGCAGCGAUGGGUUCUGGAAUUGUAUCCUGGAAAAUCAGAAUAUUUGGUCCUGUAUAAUUCCAUCAACGAAAAUCUCAGAUUUUUCCAUCAGACAUCAGAAGACUGCACAAACAAUUAUUUACUGUCUUGUAUUGUUUGCCAUUCUAAAGAAGUCGUUGACACCAUGGAACCUCUUUUCGUGUGUUAGUUGGAAGGAUGACGACAAAUGGAAAUAUGAUCAAACUUAACCCAUUUGGUGGUAAUAUUUGAACCAAUUGUUUAACCUACCUGUAAUCUUAAUCUAUGGUUUUAGUCUACCUGUAAUCUGAACCUAUUACACAUUUUUGUGUAUAGUUUUAGCCUACCUGUAAUCUAAACCCAUUAUAUAGUUUUAGCCUACCUGUAAUCUAAACCUAUUAUAUGGUUUUAGCCUACCUGUAAUCUAAACCUUUUAUAUGGUUUUAGCCUACCAGUAAUCUAAACCCAUUAUAUGGUUUUAGCCAACCUGUAAACUAAACCUAUUAUGGUUUUAGCCUACCUGUAAUCUGGACCUAUGGUUUUAGCCUACCUGUAAUCUGAACCUAUGGUUUUAGCCUACUUGUAAUCUGAACCUAUGGUUUUAGUCUACCUGUAAUCUGGACCUAUGGUUUUAGCCUACCUGUAAUCUGGACCUAUGGUUUUAGUCUACCUGUAAUCUGAACCUAUGGUUUUAGUCUACCUGUAAUCUGGACCUAUGGUUUUAGCCUACCUGUAAUCUGAACCUAUGGUUUUAGUCUACCUGUAAUCUGGACCUAUGGUUUUAGCCUACCUGUAAUCUGAACCUAUGGUUUUAGUCUACCUGUAAUCUGAACCUAUGGUUUUAGUCUACCUGUAAUCUGAACCUAUGGUUUUAGCCUACCUGUAAUCUGAACCUAUUGUUUUAGCCUACUUGUAAUCUGAACCUAUUGUUUUAGUCUACCUGUAAUCUGGACCUAUUGUUUUAGCCUACCUGUAAUCUGUCAGAUGAUACAUACCAUUAGGAUUGGAUCCACAGCAUUCCAUGUUUUUUGGAAUCGCGUGGGCAUUGUUGCAGCAACUGUGUAUAUUGAUAUUAUAUGUUCCAUUCCCACAGCAGGAAUAGGAAGAGAUCGGCACCACAUUAAGAUGUGGGUGCCCAUUACAGCACAGGUCUUUGCGAUUGUCAAUGUCUGUAUUUCCGCAGGAUGAAAUAAAUUUUAACAUUGAUGUGGCUUG